UACGAAGGGGGCUAGCGUUGCUCGGAAUCACUGGGCGUAAAGCGCACGUAGGCGGACUCUUAAGUCGGUGGUGAAAUCCUGGAGCUCAACUCCAGAACUGCCUUCGAUACUGGGAGUCUCGAGUCCGGGAGAGGUGAGUGGAACUGCGAGUGUAGAGGUGAAAUUCGUAGAUAUUCGCAAGAACACCAGUGGCGAAGGCGGCUCACUGGCCCGGUACUGACGCUGAGGUGCGAAAGCG
rnacentral:rRNA from 1 species